rnacentral:rRNA from 1 species
UACAGAGGUCCCAAGCGUUGUUCGGAUUCAUUGGGCGUAAAGGGUGCGUAGGCGGCGCGGUAAGUCGGGUGUGAAAUCUCGGGGCUUAACUCCGAAACUGCAUUCGAUACUGCCGUGCUUGAGGACUGGAGAGGAGACUGGAAUUUACGGUGUAGCGGUGAAAUGCGUAGAUAUCGUAAGGAAGACCAGUGGCGAAGGCGGGUCUCUGGACAGUUCCUGACGCUGAGGCACGAAGGUCCAGGGGAGCAAACGGG